rnacentral:rRNA from 1 species
GACGAACGCUGGCGGCGUGCUUAACACAUGCAAGUCGAACGAAGAGCGAUGGAAGCUUGCUUCUAUCAAUCUUAGUGGCGAACGGGUGAGUAACGCGUAAUCAACCUGCCCUUCAGAGGGGGACAACAGUUGGAAACGACUGCUAAUACCGCAUACGAUCUGACCUCGGCAUCGAGGAUAGAUGAAAGGUGGCCUCUAUUUAUAAGCUAUCACUGAAGGAGGGGAUUGCGUCUGAUUAGCUAGUUGGAGGGGUAACGGCCCACCAAGGCGAUGAUCAGUAGCCGGUCUGAGAGGAUGAACGGCCACAUUGGGACUGAGACACGGCUCAGACUCCUACGGGAGGCAGCAGUGGGGAAUCUUCCGCAAUGGACGAAAGUCUGACGGAGCAACGCCGCGUGAGUGAUGACGGCCUUCGGGUUGUAAAGCUCUGUUAAUCGGGACGAAAGGCCUUCUUGCGAAUAGUUAGAAGGAUUGACGGUACCGGAAUAGAAAGCCACGGCUAACUACGUG